GAUGAACGCUGGCGGCGUGCCUAAUACAUGCAAGUCGAGCGAACGGACGAGAAGCUUGCUUCUCUGAUGUUAGCGGCGGACGGGUGAGUAACACGUGGAUAACCUACCUAUAAGACUGGGAUAACUUCGGGAAACCGGAGCUAAUACCGGAUAAUAUUUUGAACCGCAUGGUUCAAAAGUAAAAGACGGUCUUGCUGUCACUUAUAGAUGGAUCCGCGCUGCAUUAGCUAGUUGGUAAGGUAACGGCUUACCAAGGCAACGAUGCAUAGCCGACCUGAGAGGGUGUUCGGCCACACUGGAACUGAGACACGGUCCAGACUCCUACGGGAGGCAGCAGUAGGGAAUCUUCCGCACUGGGCGAAGGCCUGACGGAGCAACGCCGCGUGAGUGAUGAAGGUCUUCGGAUCGUAAAACUCUGUUAUUAGGGAAGAACAUAUGUGUAAGUAACUGUGCACAUCUUGACGGUACCUAAUCAGAAAGCCACGGCUAACUACGUG
rnacentral:rRNA from 1 species